UACGGAGGGGGCCAGCGUUGUUCGGAAUCAUAGGGCGUAAAGCGCGUGUAGGCGGCCCGAUAAGUCCGCCGUGAAAGCCCAGGGCUCAACCCUGGGAUGCCGGUGGAAACUGUCGGGCUAGAGUCCGGAAGAGGCGAGUGGAAUUCCUGGUGUAGCGGUGAAAUGCGCAGAUAUCAGGAGGAACACCAAUGGCGAAGGCAGCUCGCUGGGACGGUUACUGACGCUGAGACGCGAAAGCGUGGGGAGCAAACAGG
rnacentral:rRNA from 1 species